UACGGAGGGCGCGAGCGUUAAUCGGAAUUACUGGGCGUAAAGCGCGCGUAGGCUGUUGUGUAAGUUGGGGGUGAAAUCCCACGGCUCAACCGUGGAACAGCCCUUGAUACUGCGCGACUUGAAUCCGGGAGAGGGCGGCGGAAUUCCAGGUGUAGGAGUGAAAUCCGUAGAUAUCUGGAGGAACAUCAGUGGCGAAGGCGGCCACCUGGACCGGUAUUGACGCUGAGGCGCGAAAGCGUGGGGAGCAAACAGG
rnacentral:rRNA from 1 species